GAGUUUGAUCGUGGCUCAGGACGAACGCUGGCGGCGUGCCUAACACAUGCAAGUUGAGCGACGAACCGGGGCUUGCCCCGGGCAAAGCAGCGAACGGGUGAGUAACACGUGGGCAACCUGCCCCGAAGACUGGGACAGCCCGAGGAAACUCGGGCUAAUACCGGAUGUGCCCUGCGAGCAUAAGCUCGUCGAGCAAAGGAAGCUUCGGCCUCCGCUUUGGGAGGGGCCCGCGGCCCAUUAGCUUGUUGGUGAGGUAACGGCUCACCAAGGCUGCGAUGGGUAGCUGGUCUGAGAGGACAAUCAGCCACACUGGGACUGAGACACGGCCCAGACUCCUACGGGAGGCAGCAGUGGGGAAUCUUGCGCAAUGCGCGAAAGCGUGACGCAGCAACGCCGCGUGGGGGAAGAAUGCCUUCGGGUUGUAAACCCUUUCAGGAGGACGAAGGUCAGUCCGGUGAAUAGCCGGAUCGACUGACGGUACCUCACAAGAAGCUCGGCUAACUACGUGCCAGCAGCCG
rnacentral:rRNA from 1 species